CAUGUGGAGCGCUUAGAAGUGAGAAUGCCGGUGUGAGUAGCGAAAGACGGGUGAGAAUCCCGUCCACCGAUUGACUAAGGUUUCCAGAGGAAGGCUCGUCCGCUCUGGGUUAGUCGGGUCCUAAGCUGAGGCCGACAGGCGUAGGCGAUGGAUAACAGGUUGAUAUUCCUGUACCACCAUUAUUCGUUUUAAGCGAUGGGGGGACGCAGUAGGAUAGGCGAAGCGUGCUGUUGGAGUGCACGUCCAAGCAGUGAGAUUGAGUGUUAGGCAAAUCCGGCACUCUUAAGAUUGAGCUGUGAUGGGGAGAGGAACUUGUUCCUCGAGUCGUUGAUUUCACACUGCCGAGAAAAGCCUCUAGCUAGAAUAACGGUGCCCGUACCGCAAACCGACACAGGUAGUCAAGAUGAGAAUUCUAAGGUGAGCGAGCGAACUCUCGUUAAGGAACUCGGCAAAAUGACCCCGUAACUUCGGGAGAAGGGGUGCUCUU
rnacentral:rRNA from 1 species